rnacentral:rRNA from 1 species
UGGGGAAUAUUGCACAAUGGAGGGAACUCUGAUGCAGCGACGCCGCGUGAGUGAUGAAGGAAUUCGUUUCGUAAAACUCUGUUCUAUGGGAAGAAAAGGACUGUACCAUAGGAGAAAGCUCCGGCUAAAUACGUGCCAGCAGGCGCGGUAAUACGUAUGGAGCGAGCGUUGUCCGGAAUUAUUGGGCGUAAAGGGUGCGCAGGCGGCUUUACAAGUUGGAUGUGAAAUAUUGUGGCUCAACCACAAACGUGCAUCCAAAACUGCAAAGCUUGAGUUAAGGAGAGGUAAGUGGAAUUCCUGGUGUAGCGGUGGAAUGCGUAGAUAUCAGGAGGAAUACCGGUGGCGAAGGCGACUUACUGGACUUAAACUGACGCUCAGGCACGAAAGCGUGGGGAGCAAACAGG